UCCGGUGGUUGUAUCGGUAGGGUCACACCCGUUCCCAUCCCGAACACGGAAGUUAAGCCUACUGGAGCCGAUGAUACUGCAUCUUUCAGGUGUGGGAAAGUAGGUAGCCGCCGGGA
rnacentral:rRNA from 1 species